rnacentral:ncRNA from 2 species
AACCCGGUGCGCAACUGGCGAUAGGCACCAGGUUUUUCUGACUGUUGGUGCUGACGUGGGACACCACUGGGAAGCGCACCGCUGGCGGCCAUUUGGCCCCCAGCGUUCAGCCGUUCGUCUGGGCAGCCCUU